UACGUAGGUGGCGAGCGUUGUCCGGAAUUACUGGGUGUAAAGGGCGUGUAGGCGGGGCUACAAGUCAGAUGUGAAAUUCCACGGCUUAACUGUGGCGCUGCAUCUGAAACUGUAUCUCUUGAGUGCUGGAGAGGAAAGCGGAAUUCCUAGUGUAGCGGUGAAAUGCGUAGAUAUUAGGAGGAACACCAGUGGCGAAGGCGGCUUUCUGGACAGUAACUGACGCUGAGGCGCGAAAGCGUGGGGAGCAAACAGG
rnacentral:rRNA from 1 species